rnacentral:rRNA from 1 species
AGUGAACGCUGGCGGUAGGCCUAACACAUGCAAGUCGAACGGCAGCACAGGAGAGCUUACUCUCUGGGUGGCGAGUGGCGGACGGGUGAGGAAUACAUCGGAAUCUACUCUGUCGUGGGGGAUAGCGUAGGGAAACUUACGCUAAUACCGCAUACGACCUACGGGUGAAAGCAGGGGACCUUCGGGCCUUGCGCGAUUGAAUGAGCCGAUGUCGGAUUAGCUAGUUGGCGGGGUAAAGGCCCACCAAGGCGACGAUCCGUAGCUGGUCUGAGAGGAUGAUCAGCCACACUGGAACUGAGACACGGUCCAGACUCCUACGGGAGGCAGCAGUGGGGAAUAUUGGACAAUGGGCGCAAGCCUGAUCCAGCCAUACCGCGUGGGUGAAGAAGGCCUUCGGGUUGUAAAGCCCUUUUGUUGGGAAAGAAAUCCAGCUGGCUAAUACCCGGUUGGGAUGACGGUACCCAAAGAAUAAGCACCGGCUAACUUCGUGCCAGCCGCCGCGGUAA